UUACUUUUGAAUGGGAAACAGCUGGAAAUAACAGUCGAAAUUAAGCCAUUAUUAAAUGCAGUGGUCAGUUUCAAAUUGGUGAGAUAAAAUUUCCUUUUUCACUUUUCCUUUUCUUUUUAACAUUUUUUUUUCUUGUUUUAGCAAGGCAAGUGACUUCUGCUUUUAUGGUAUUAUGGUGUUUAAGUGAAAUUCUUAAAUGUGUUUUAUUUCUGAUCUAAGUCUUUUCUGCUGAGCAUGUUCUGCAAUAUUUAUGUGCUGGUUGUAAUUCUGCCAAUACAUCAGAGUUUUGAUUUUGAUAUAAGUAUUAGGUCAAUUUUUUUUUUUUAAUAUUGUUUUUUAAACUGAGUAGGACACAAAAUCUGCCUGACUUUUAUUGAACCCUCUACAUCAUAUAACUUGAUUCUAUGUUAACUCAGCUCUUUUCCAUAUCAGCUCAGGUGAUAAAGUGCAAGGAGUACAUGCAAAGAGACACAAAUUCAAGCUCUGGAGCUAGUUAAUUCAGUACCAGCUGAAGGACUGCAGCUUGAUCAUGCAUAAUGUCCAUGCAAACAUGUCAACGAUCUGCUAAAUGACUUCUGAAAUGAAAAUAGUGGUUCCCCAGUGCCACAGGCUGUUUGAAACAUUCUCAAGGUUUUUAUUUCCAAAUGACGCAUUAAACCCUAUAGAAUAUAUUUGCUGCUUGGUACCUCUUAUAGGCUUUGAAUUGACCUCUUGGAAUCUCAGUUUUGUGCUGUGUGAAAUACUAUUCCACAAAGGCUUCUUCAAUGUCAAAAACUAUAGCUGAGAGGACAUUCAAAAGCCAGUCCUGUUUGGAGCUGUGAGAAGUCAAUGGGAAGAACUGCAUGAACUUCACUGUGUUCAAUGUUGGUCACUUACAGAAGAGAAGAGCAGAGCAGUGUUUGAAAACCAAUCUGUAAGGUCUCUGAGGAGUCAUCUGCAAAUUUUUAUUUUAUUUUUUCUCAAAUUUGGAAGACACUGGACAUACAGUUGAAUAAAUAGAUACAUUAGC
rnacentral:lncRNA from 1 species